AAGUGAUUUACAGAUUAAAGUAUUUGUUGACUCAGUCUAUCUGGCACUGAAUUUGUAAAUCCAUCCUUUCUGUUUCAGUCAGGCAUGACUGGGGGAACAACCCUUAUAAGUAAAAGAAGCUACAUGAACAACUUUCUUGAAAUAAUGUCAGUGUUAUCUGCUUGUGGCUUGAGCUGCAUGGAAGGAACAAAGAACCUCCAUCAACCUGCUGCUAUUAGCAACACUGGGUGCAGGGCUGCUACCGCACAAGCUUCAUGGUGAUGUGAUGAAGAUCCAAGACGCUGAACACACACAUGCGUAUACAAAAAUUAUGUUACUCUUCAAACUUCUUGCCAAAUGCCACCAUACUGUCUUAUUCAGCUGGGAUGAAAUUGUUAUCUUCAGAGUGUUUGCUAUGAUGCUAUGUUCCGGUUCUAGGAGAAAAACAAUGUUGAUAACACACCAAUGUUUAUAGUUGCUGCUAAGCAGUAUUGUACAGAGCCAAGGUUAUUCACCUCCUAUUCACCAAAAGGCCCAAGGAGAUGGGAGGGAACAGAAUUAGGACAAGUGACUUAAACUGCCAAGUGGAUAUUCCAUACCAGAUGACAGCAUGUGGAAGGAGUUUUGAAGGGGUGAGAGUUCAUCUCUGUCUUCUGCUGCCCAGGAACUAGUUGGACAUUGGUCAGUGGGUAGCAAGCAAUUGCUUGUGCAUCACUUGUUAUAUACAUUCAUAUAUAUAUGAAUAUAUAUAUAUAUAUAUAUAUACAUAUAUAUAUAUAUACGGGUAUAGUCAUAACUAUUAUCCUGUUCAUUUUCUCUUUUUUAUUAAAUAGUUUUAUCUCAAAAUUCAACUUCUUUCUUCUUCCCUGAUUCUCUCCCCCCAUUCCACUGGGAAUGUGGUAAGUGUGCAAAUAACUGUGUAGUCCUGGGCCAUCUGCUGGGUUAAACCACAACACAGAGCAAAAGAUGAGUCUUUAAGCAACUGAAGGACACCAUAUCAUGGAUACUUUAGAGUGAUCAGAGUUCAGACCCCACUGAUAUAACUUAGAGCAAAGACUAGCUCCACAGAUCAGGGUGAAAGUUCAGUCUGUGAUAUGGGUACAAGACAGUCACAUGGUGUACUUUUUAAAAGUAUUUGCAAGUAAUGCUGGCAGCAAAUUUGUUUUGCUGUGUAAUGACCCACUCAUUCUUGUCUUCUGUUGCCUUUCAUUUCUGUUUUUUGUUUUUUUUUCCCCUUGAACUAGGAUGUAGGCAAUGAUCAGUGGGUGUGAGGCGUAACAUAAGAGGUCCCACAUAAAUAUGAGAAAAAACUUAUUCACGAUGAGGGUGACAGAACACUGAGAUAGGCUGC
rnacentral:lncRNA from 1 species